rnacentral:rRNA from 1 species
GAGACGAAACAGUGAUGUGGAGUAAAACUUAUAAAAGCGACCUCAGUUCGGAUUGAAGGCUGAAAUUCGCCUUCAUGAAGUCGGAAUUGCUAGUAAUGGCAGGUCAGCAUACUGCCGUGAAUACGUUCCCGGGCCUUGUACACACCGCCCGUCACACCAUGAGAGUUGGAGAUACCCGAAGCCUAUGAGCUAACUUUUAGAGGCAGUAGUCGAAGGUAGAAUCAAUGAUUGGGGUGAAGUCGUAACAAGGUAAC